CUCGUUUCUGUCUCUUCUUCUUCUUCAAGUCUUCCACGAGGAGGAAGCAGACUGAACAUCAGAACUUGUGUCAACCUGCAGUAGGAAACUCUACCUGGCUUCUCCAAACCAUGGAUGUCUGUAUAGAUUGCAGGUGUUGGAUGACAUUGGAGAUGGAAGGGCGACACAUGAAAAUGAUCACAUCACAUGCAGGUGUUGGGUGACAUUGGAGAUGGAAGGGCGACACAUGACAAUAAUCACAUCACAUGCAGGUGACCCUCAUGGCUGAACCUGAAGUUACUGGAUGAGGACAUCUGAUGUCAAGGCAUCAAUCUGUUCAUGAGCUCCACAUCUGGUAACCUGGAGCUGUAUGGGCUCUAAUGAUCUCCCUGGUUUGAAGGUCUGGCGACACGGACGGCAGCCUAAACAAGUGGAGUCUGUCUGGGCUCACCACUGCAGACUGAGGAAGUGGCAACGGUGAUGCUGAAAUUUGUGCAGUAAUGUGCACUGUUGGUGUGGAACUAACUGCACCACUAGAAAGGUGUAAAAUGUAACAAUGUGGUCAAUUAAGUCCAAGUGAUGUAAACUGUUCACUGUCAUUGAAUGAAAUAAAAUGCACAAAAUGA